ACGAACGCUGGCGGCGUGCUUAACACAUGCCAGUCGAACGGAAAGGCCCUGCUUUUGUGGGGUGCUCGAGUGGCGAACGGGGGAGGAACACGUGAGUAACCUGCCCUUGACUUUGGGAUAACUUCAGGAAACUGGGGCUAAUACCGGAUAGGAGCUCCUGCUGCAUGGUGGGGGUUGGAAAGUUUCGGCGGUUGGGGAUGGACUCGCGGCUUAUCCGCUUGUUGGUGGGGUAGUGGCUUACCAAGGCUUUGACGGGUAGCCGGCCUGGGAGGGGGACCGGCCACAUUGGGACUGGGGUACGGCCCAGACUCCUACGGGAGGCAGCAGUGGGGAAUAUUGCACAAUGGGCGGAAGCCUGAUGCAGCAACGCCGCGUGCGGGAUGACGGCCUUCGGGUUGUAAACCGCUUUCGCCUGUGACGAAGCGUGAGUGACGGUAAUGGGUAAAGAAGCACCGGCUAACUACGUG
rnacentral:rRNA from 1 species